GUAGGUGAACCUGCGGAAGGAUCAUUAACACGUAUCCACGUAUCAAAACCCCUCUGUGCACAACCUCUUCGUAAGGUUUGGUCGGAGUUGUGUUCAUUCGAUCUUAAUGAUGGGAGUUCUUUGGGACUCGGGAUCUAUGAAUGAGCACAGCGUUUGACGAUCGGCCGCUAUUUUCCCAUCGUUAGCUUUAACUUUUUAAACCCCUUGUACUUUUUUGUACUGAACCAAUUCUUCGAGUUUCGAGUCCCUUUGGGAUUUGAGAUACGAAAGAUAUUACGAAACUAAAGAACAACUCUUAGCAACGGAUAUCUUGGUUCCC
rnacentral:misc_RNA from 1 species